ACGAACGCUGGCGGCAUGCCUAACACAUGCAAGUCGAACGAGACCUUCGGGUCUAGUGGCGCACGGGUGCGUAACACGUGGGAAUCUGCCCUUUGCUUCGGAAUAACAGUUAGAAAUGACUGCUAAUACCGGAUGAUGUCGAAAGACCAAAGAUUUAUCGGCAAAGGAUGAGCCCGCGUAGGAUUAGGUAGUUGGUGGGGUAAAGGCCUACCAAGCCGACGAUCCUUAGCUGGUCUGAGAGGAUGAUCAGCCACACUGGGACUGAGACACGGCCCAGACUCCUACGGGAAGCAGCAGUGGGGAAUAUUGGACAAUGGGCGAAAGCCUGAUCCAGCAAUGCCGCGUGAGUGAUGAAGGCCUUAGGGUUGUAAAGCUCUUUUACCAGGGAUGAUAAUGACAGUACCUGGAGAAUAAGCUCCGGCUAACUCCGUG
rnacentral:rRNA from 1 species